UACGGAGGGUGCGAACGUUAAUCGGAAUCACUGGGCGUAAGGCGCGCGUAGGCGGUUUGUUAAGUGGGAUGUGAAAGCCCCGGGCUUAACCUGGGAAUUGCAUUUCAAACUGGCGAACUAGAGUGCGGUAGAGGGAGGUAGAAUUUCCUGUGUAGCGGUGAAAUGCGUAGAUAUAGGAAGGAAUACCAGUGGCGAAGGCGGCACUCUGGGCCGGUACUGACGCUGAGGAGCGAAAGCGUGGGGAGCGAACAGG
rnacentral:rRNA from 1 species